AGGAAGACCUGUGUGACAAGCGACGAGGUCCUAAAAGAUGAAGUAUAAGUGUUGACAAAUAGAAAAAGUGUUGGGACGGUGAGACCCGUCCAACGAAAAGAAAUUGUAUUUCGCCUGCUGAUGCUCUGAAAGGCGGUGUGAGGAACGAUGUUGAGGCAGAGACUGAAAGACAACCUGCCAUGGAUUAUGAAUACUAUAUGUUUGGAGUGCCUGGGUCCUGGGCAACCGAGGGCAUUCAGAUCGUUGUAUGACUUUAUCUGAAUGGAAGAUCUGAUGGUGCUUUUUGUCUCUAAAAAAAAUUUGAAUGGACCAAAAUGAACGUUUUUGUUUUGAUUUGAAAGAUGAAAAAAAUAUAAAAUUAAAAUAAACGGACAUCACAUAUUGUAUAAUUAUCUAUGCCGUUUUCUCUUCGCCAUCGUCUAUGAGGUAUCGCCGAUAAGGUCUUAUCCCAUGCCUGAUCUCUUCCUCUCUGGUCGAUUUCUCUCACGUAUAUCCUUAUCUCUCAGAUCUGACCGCCGCCGCUACCAUUGUUCUUCGCCGAAACUUUGGGUUUCUGGAUGGGAGUUGAUACCUAAUUUAUCCAUAUCAUUUGCACGUUUGAUUGAGGUUUUGGAGGACUUUAGGCCACUGUCCAGCUGCAUCCGGGGUUUUUUAGCAUAUUUUUUUUGGUUGGAUUACUUAAUUGAAGUUUGGAAGUGAUUUUGGACCAAACUAAAUUGAAGUUGGGAAGUGAUUUUGGACCAAGCUACUUUUGGUAAUUUUGUUUGAGAUAUUGGGAGUGAAUUUUAUGUUUGAUUUAAGUCUUAAUUAUGUAAGCUAAUUGUAAUAUAUAUAUAUAUAGGGGGCUUGAUUUAAGAAUUUCAAUGUGUAAGUUAAAGAGAAGUUUUGGUUGCUAAUUUUUUUGUGCUUAAUCUUGAGCUAUAUAAUCUUAUUACUGGAAUCGCCCUUGAAUCAGAUAACAUAGCUAAUAUGGCAGUGUUUGAUUUGGAUUGGAUAAGAUUGAGAAGCAUGAUAUGUUAUGUGAAUAAAGCAAUUUUAAGAGCGUGAUAUCAUUUGUAUGUGAUCAAUAUGAUUAUGACCUUGAGACAUGUACCAUGAUUUAUGUUGUGAAUGUCAUUGAUACUACGAUAAAUGUCAUGAUAGGAAAGUGUCAGUUUUCCCUCCUAACACCAUGAUAUUACAACUCUGUGAGCCAUUAGAUCACAAUCAUAUUACAGCUCCGUGGACCGAUAGGUUAACAACCACACUGUAGAUUCGUGGACUGAUGGGUCCACAACUACAUUACAGCUCUGUGGACCGACAGGUUCACAACCAUAUUACAACUCUAUGGACCGACGGUUCACAACUAUAUUAAAGUCCAUGGACCGACGGGUUCACAACCACAUUACAGCUCUGUGGACUGAUGGGUUCACAAGGUGGACCAAUGGAUUCACAACCAUAUUAUAGCUCCGUGAGCUGACAGGUUCACAACCAUAUUACCUUCGUGAGCCAACGGGUUUGUGGACCGAUGAGUUCACAACCAUAUUAGAGCUCCAUGGACCAAUGGAUUCACAACCAUAUUAUAGCUCCAUGAGUCGAUAGGUUCACAAUGAUAUUACAGCUCCAUGAGGCAACAUGGUCACUCUUAUGUUGUUAGGGAAGCUUUUAGGCCACCAGAUAUGCGUUAGGCUGGGUUAAACCGUUCACUAGACGACCAUCCACGAAUGGUUGAAUUAUGCAUGUCUCACUAGUAUAUUUGCAUUUAUAGGACAUAAAUGCACAGUCUGACCCUCUGGUAGUGGGUUAUUUACUGAGUAUUUUUACACUCAUCCUUUCUU